AAUGAACGCUGGCGGCGUGCCUAACACAUGCAAGUCGAACGAGAAAUCUUGGCUUCGGCCGGGAAAGUAAAGUGGCGCACGGGUGAGUAACGCGUGGGUAAUCUGUCCUCAAAUCUGGGAUAACUUCGCGAAAGCGAUGCUAAUACCGGAUAUCGUCCAUGAGACUGUGGUUUUUUGGAUGAAAGGUGACCUCUUCAUGAAAGUUGCCGUUUGGGGAGGGGCCCGCGUACCAUUAGCUUGUUGGUGGGGUAAUGGCCUACCAAGGCUACGAUGGUUAGCUGGUCUGAGAGGAUGAUCAGCCACACUGGAACUGAAACACGGUCCAGACUCCUACGGGUGGCAG
rnacentral:rRNA from 1 species